rnacentral:rRNA from 1 species
UACGAAGGGGGCUAGCGUUGUUCGGAAUUACUGGGCGUAAAGCGUGCGCAGGCGGUUUGUUAAGUCUGCUGUGAAAUCCCCGAGCUCAACUUGGGAAAUGCAGUGGAUACUGGCAGGCUGGAGUAUGGUAGAGGAAGGUGGAAUUCCCGGUGUAGCAGUGAAAUGCGUAGAGAUCGGGAGGAACACCAGUGGCGAAGGCGGCCUUCUGGACCAAUACUGACGCUCAUGCACGAAAGCGUGGGGAGCAAACAGG